UACGGAGGGUCCAAGCGUUAUCCGGAAUCAUUGGGUGUAAAGGGUGCGUAGGCGGCAUGAUAAGUCAGUGGUGAAAUCCUGCAGCUUAACUGCAGAACUGCCAUUGAUACUGUCAAUCUUGAGUAUAUUUGAUGUGGGCGGAAUGUGUCAUGUAGCGGUGAAAUGCUUAGAUAUGACACAGAACACCGAUUGCGAAGGCAGCUCACAAAACUAUAACUGACGCUGAGGCACGAAAGCGUGGGUAGCAAACAGG
rnacentral:rRNA from 1 species